rnacentral:rRNA from 1 species
CACAGUAAACGAUGGAUGCCCGCUGUUGGCGACACAUUGUCAGCGGCCAAGCGAAAGCGUUAGGCAUCCCACCUGGGGAGUACGCCGGCAACGGUGAAACUCAAAGGAAUUGACGGGGGCCCGCACAAGCGGAGGAACAUGUGGUUUAAUUCGAUGAUACGCGAGGAACCUUACCCGGGCUUGAACUGCAGGGGAACGAUAGAGAGAUCUUGAGGUCAGCAAUGACCCCUGUGGAGGUGCUGCAUGGUUGUCGUCAGCUCGUGCCGUGAGGUGUCGGCUUAAGUGCCAUAACGAGCGCAACCCUUGUCUGUAGUUGCCAUCAGGUGAUGCUGGGCACUCUGCGGAUACUGCCACCGUAAGGUGUGAGGAAGGUGGGGAUGACGUCAAAUCAGCACGGCCCUUACGUCCGGGGCUACACACGUGUUACAAUGGGGGGUACAGAGAGUCAGGUGCCGGCAACGUCGCCUUAAUCAGAAAAGCCCUCCUCAGUUCGGAUUGGGGUCUGCAACCCGACC